UGCCAUGUCGUCCAACGGCAGGACACCGGACUUUGACUCCGAGGAUCGCGGUUCGAAUCCGCGCGUGGCAACCA
rnacentral:tRNA from 1 species